rnacentral:tRNA from 1 species
AUGGCUCAGCAGGUAGAGCACGUCCUUGGUAAGGACGAGGUCACCGGUUCAAAUCCGGUUAGCAGCUCCA